rnacentral:pre_miRNA from 1 species
UCCUUCAGUGUUGAAACAUUCUCAGCUGAACCAGACUCCAAACCAAGUUCACUGGAGUUUGUUUCAAUAUUGCAAGAA